GAAAGGCUGUUGAUGUAGUCUACCUAGAUUUCAGCAAAGCCUUUGACACUGUCUCCCACAGUAUUCUCCUCCAGAAGCUGGCAGUCCGUAGCUUGGACAGGUAUGAAAACAUCAUCCAAAAUGGUCAAGGCUUAUUUUGACUGUGAGCCCAACCUUCGUUUGAAAAUACUACUGCGAGCUGCAGGAAGCAAUUCAAAGCAACAGCAGGAUGGUCAUCUUCAGGAGCAUAUUAAUGGCUAGCACUGGAAGUCUGCAGACAAUAUCUUUUUACCUGGAGGCUUGUAAGUUAAAAUAGGCGUGUUUUUGUUUUUGUUUUUGUUUUUUUCGUGGAGAUGCAACAGUAAAUUCUCACUAAUGAGCUGCCCACAAGGUGUCCUCCGUGAGUAGGUCUGUACCUCAUACAUAACUACAACACAUUUCACCUAUCCCAUUAGAAUCAUAGAAUCAUAGAAUAAUAAAACAUCCCAAGUUGGCAGAGACCUGUAAAGAUGAUCAAAUCCAACUCCUGGCUCCACACAGGACCACCCAAAUAUCAUAUGUCUGAGAGUGUUGUACACUGAACUCAGUGCCAUGACCACUUCUUGUGGGGAGGCUCUUCCAAUGCCCGAUCACCCUUUUGAUGAAGAACUUUUUUCCUGAUAUCCAUAAUGAAUCUCCCCUGUUGCAUUUUCGUUAUCACAUAUGCCAGUAAUCGUCUUUUGUGUGAUACAUUCAAAUUUUCACAAAGAAUAAUAGAAAUACGAGAAAGUUCCUCCAAGUCAUACCAGGAAGAGCUGCUGUUCUAAUUUUGAGUCUUAAAAAUAUUUUCUAUUGGAAAUCAUGCCCUUAAGACAGUGCUCAAAAAUGUAGUAAGAUUAAGUUGAAGGUGAAAAAAAAAAAAAUUCAAUUAUUAGGUUUAUACACAGCAAUUUUGUACUUUGCCUGUCUCACAGUUAUACAAAACAUCAAGCUUCCCACUUUCUUAGAGGAAGGGAGGAAUCAGUGUGAAAUAAUAGUAUCCAGUGAAGCAAAACAACCCAGACAUGAUGUUCAUUCCCGAUGUCUCUGAAGGUAACAUCCAAGCUUUCAGCACAAUGGCCAGACGACUCCUCUAAAAGAAAAUCAGAAGCUGUAUACCAGCCCACAAAGUUUCCAUCAAGAAAGAAAACUGAUAAAACAACUCUGAAGACAAACUCAGAGACUGAUAAAAUUUAGAAGUGAUUUUAACCCUAAUUGUAGAGGAAUUCCAUUUAUCAUAAGGUUCUGAUCAAUUCAUACCAGUUCAGUUUAAACCCUGAGUAAAUCCAACAAUUCUCCAGUUAAGUCAGAAAUUCAGGACCAGAGUUCAGCCACCUCUAGUCAUGUAAAACAGUAAAACAAAUAUCCAGCUUGAAAGGAUCUGCAAAGUUGUGACAGGGGAGGCUCAGCUUGGAUAUUAGGAAAAAAUCAUUCUCUGAGAGAGUGGUGAGGCAUUGGCACAGGCUGCCCAGGGAGAUGGUUCAGUCACUGUUCCUGGAAGUUUUCAAGAAACAUGAGUAUGUGGCACUGAGGGACAUGGUUAGAGAGCACGGUGGUGAGGGGCUGAUGGCUGAAGCUAAUGAUCUUAGACGUCUUUUCCAACCUGAACGAUUCUAUGAUUAUAUGAUUCUAAAGCAUCCUCUCCAUCAGGUUUCCCUCAGCAUUUCCAUACAAAAGAGACCACAAGAAACUUCAGUCUUAUCAAGAGAAGCACAAUUAUAUUUGCUGUAUUGAAGUGCUGCCAGAUGUGUAAGAAUAGGCAUGGAUGCAUGGAUAGUGGAUAGGAAAAUCUCUAAUAGACAAAGCAGGAAAGCAGAAAUCAGUUAUCCUGGGCUACACUCCUCACUCUGGCACUGUUAUACUAAGGCAGUAUUCUUUCAAUGCCUUGUUUUCCCAUUAUAAAAUGAGCUUAGAUACAUCACUACAGAUUGGCAAUGGCUCACAAGGGUAUUUCUUUUGAGCUGCAAUUAAGUAGUGUCUGAAAUAUAUAUUGAGAUAAUAUCCAAGAAGUUGAUAUAUGAAAGCAAAACACUUCUGUGAAGCACCAGGCAGCCAAAAAAUUGAAUGGUUUAUACAUGCAUUAAAAAAGAGUCUUAAAAGCCAAAAUGUCUUUUGUCCAAAAGAUAAUUCAUGUUUCACAGUACAUCUCCAGUCAUUUUCAUUUUAUCCUGUAUAAAAAGAAAUGAUGUUGAAUGUAAGAGAAAUGUAUUAUAUACCCAAAGUUCUAUAGUAAUCUGAAACCAGACAUCAGGGUUCAUCUAAUUUGUUAAGAAAACUAUUUGUUAUCUAUUGGUGUGAAAAUCAUGUUUACUGCUUACACUGCCUGAGGCAAAACACGAAGAUUCAAAGUUAAUUUUCUUUCAUAAAUAAAACAUUGCAAAAAUCU
ensembl:lncRNA